UCAUUGUUGACGCGAAUUAAUAGAAAAUUGAAAGUGAUGAACAAUCUUAAAAACAAUAAAGAUAUUUAAAUAAAUAAGAUUGGUAAUUACGUGAUAAAUAAUUAUGACAGAUAAUUCGAUAUUUCCAUUCGAUUGUCGAUAAGUUAUUUAUUAUUUAUUAUUAUCAUUAUUUUGACACAAUACGCGGAAGAAAAUAUGGAUUGGAAAAUAUAUCGGACAAAAGAGAAAGUUACAGUGACAUUUUCAGGAUAAAACGAAAGAGGAGGACGGAGAUCGAAAGAUGUGGAGGAAGAGGAGAAAGGGGAGGAGGACGACAACGAGGAGGAGAAGGUGGAGGAUGAGGAGGAGGAGGAGGAGGAGGAGGAGGAGGAGAUCGAAGUAAAAAGGAGAAUUCGUUUUCCAUUCGAAGUCCAUUUAAACUCGCGGACGCUCAAUUAUCUCGUUCGUGUGCGAUGGGAAUCUAGUUUGUAUUUUGGUACGUACAUACGUGCGUGCACGUGCGGGUGAUAUAUUGUAUGUUGUUUGUAACCGAGUUAAAUUUAAAUCCAAUUUGGAGCAAUAACUUUCCGUAUCGUGAACGGGCAUGGAAAAGAGCGAGAGAAAAGCGAUUGAGUGGUGAGGAUGGGAAGUUAGUUGGAUGGUGGGGUUGUAGAGAGAAGGGAUGCAAGAGAUCGAAGGGUCAAUGCAGAAAGAGAAAGAGAGAGAGAGAGAGAGGAAGAGAGACAGAGAAAGAAUUGGUUUUCAUAUUUGGCAUCGAACGUUCGAUCGAAUCUCUUCUCGAGUCAGUUCAUAGGUCCGUCAUUUUGUUGAGUACUCACUCGAUCCGGCUAACCGUAAGUGGAGAACAAUUUGCGCCACUUCGAUGCUUUUUAAAUGGUUCGUUUCCACGAAUACAUCUACUUAAGCAGCUCGGUUCCUCCAUCGAAGCCUGGCAGUUAAGCUGGGUAUAAGUUCCGCCACGGCGUCUACGAUAGUUGCGGGAUUUCAGCUUUAGUGAAAUUUUAAGCUUCGUCGGUGAAGCCGGAUGGAUAAGAGCCCAUGAUUACAUCCCCAAGUAUCUUCGUCUUCGACUUUACCAUCUUCUUCCUUUCCUUAUUCCUUUUCCUACUAUUUCUCUCUCUCUCUCUCUCUCUUUCUCUCUCUCUCUCUUUCUCUCUCUCUCUCUCUCUUUCUCUCUCUCUCUCUCUCGCUCUCUCUUUGUCUUCAUCUCUAUCUCUCUCUGAAACUCUUUUUCUUUGACUUUUAUAAAGAAUCAUAUUGGUUACAGAGACGGAACGAUAUCUCGAUUACAUCAAUUUAAUUAUGGACUUUUGAAUUUUUUUCUUUUUUUUUCUUUUUUUUUUUUUUUUUCUUUUCUUUAUAAACUUCAUUAUAAACGAUACAUUUCGUAAUUUUAUUAUUCUCGUUUCUCAAUUUUUCUCUCGUAUCUCGGAUAAUUAACAAGAAACUCUUAUUUUCCUGGGAAGCUUAAUUUAAAUUUAUAAUUGUUCAAAAAUCAUUGUUGAUCGAGAAAAUAUGCGGUAGAUAGUUAAGUAUAUGUAUAUAUACAGUUAUCUACAUAGUAUCUUGUUAACCUUAUGCGUUUUAAUAAUGAUAAUAAUGAUAAUAAUGAUAAUAAUAAUGAUAAUUAUUAUGAUUAUUUGACGUCGAAAAUUUUCAAUUAACCGGAGUAAAAUUUUCAAUAAAAUUAGUUCGAAUAAAUAGUGUCCACUCUCGUACAAACUGAUAGGAGCAAACAGUUAACCACUGGAAUAGUCAUUAUUAUGAUAGAAUAUAAAUGUGAUUUUUUUCUUUUAAAAAUGUACAUGAUGAUUGAAAUUAUUAUUAUAUUAUUUUUAUUGAAUUAUGUAUUGUUAUUAUUGUAUAAUAUUAAAGAAUGUGUGAUAAUAACAAUUUUUUAAAGAUGAUGAUCAAUUUAUAGAUUCAUAUAGAAUUAUAAAAAAUAAAACAUAUAAAGAAGUAGUGAGAGAGAGAGAGAGAGAGAGAGAGAGAGAGAGAGAGAGAGAGAGAGAAUAAAAAAAAGAGUCCCUUAGUUGAACACUCUUUUCUUGAUCAAUGAUAAAAAUUUUUCUUGUAGAAAUGAUCGCAGACACGAACAGAACUCGGCCACCUUUCAUACAAUUGUGGAAAUAAUCUGGCUUUCGAGCUGCUUUCUUCGAUAGCAUGCCAUUAUUUUCCAACGGAGCUACAUUUCCGUGUUGGAUCCCCAUUAUAUUCCGUAUCACAAUGGAAUUCGCGUAAAGGGAACUUCGGCUCGCGCUCAGACACCCUUCGCUUCCGUUUCAUCCUUUUUUUUCUUCUUUUUUUGUUUUUUUCUUUCUUCUUCUUCUUCUUCUUUUCCGUUUCAGCCUCCACCAGUCAGCCAUGAUUCAUCCUUUCGAAUUUUACACUUCAUGUACAAUCGUUUUUCUCUCUCUUAUCAUUCUAGAAAAAUAUUCCAUUUAUAUUCGCGCGAGAAAGAAAAUAAUACAAAAUGUUUAACUGCCCGUUUGAUUUUCUUUUCUUUUUUUUCUUUUUUUUUUUCUUUUUUUUUUUUUUUUGAUAAAAUAAAGUAAAAUUUUUUAAUAAAAUCUUUUCAACAUACAGAUUAUACUCGUGAAAUAUAUUUCAAGAGAGACAAGUCUACGAACACACAUAGGGGAUAUAUUUAUAAUAAUCGACUUCGUUGAAGGAUCGUUAAUGUACAGAUAUUAACGUUCGGAACGUUUGUGUGCAUCCAUCGAAGAAGGCUUCUUUGAAAGGAGAUGUGUACGCACGUGCGUUAGAGAAAGUGAGAGAGUGACAGAUAGAGAUAUAUAUAGAUGGAUAAUGAGAAAGAGAGAGAGAGAGAGAGAGAGAGAGAGAGAGAGAGAGAGAGAGAGAGAGAGAGAGAUAGAGAGAUUUUCACAUAGAAUCUAGCGACAUGCGAGUCGCACGACAUUACGAGAUUGCACGAUUUAUGCAUGAAAUAUUCGACUCACACGCAUCUCUCAAACGAGCCAACUCAACGUCGUUAUUCUCUUUCGCUAGAGAAUCUUCAAAAGGUCGGAGUUUCUGGCUUGCGCCGUAUUACGCUUGAACUUCUCUUAUAUAUUGUUACGUUUCUACCUUAUCGAAUAAACCAAAUAUAUAUUGGGAUAUUUACAUAUACAACCAACCGUGACAAACCGCUCGCAGCGUCUGCGGUCUGGCAAAUUAAGAUUUCGCUUCGUCGACUGUAAUUAAUUCUCGCCCUUUGAACGAAUCCAAGUAAAGUUAUUUUUCACCUUCAGAAAGUGAAUAAAUCUUUACACUUUGCAAACGUUACCAAAAAUCUUACGAAAUAUUUUCUUUCUCUCGUAUGAUAGUACGAGAGAAGUUAUGCGAAUAAAUAUGAUGUAUAUCGAAUCGAUCGGGAUAACUUAAAUGGAAGAAACAUAGAGGAAGGUAGAAUAUUUUGGAUAAUAGAUCGUACCGAUCAUUUCAAAGGUACGAUACGAUACAGAUAUUCAUUUUUCUCCGUAUAAGUUAAAGGUGGUUACUUUUACGAGACGUGACUACCGAUCAAGAAUUUUGCUGCCAGCUACUUUCGAAAUUUAAAUCGAUGACUACGUUUUCUCGGAUUCCUUCGUUUCGCUUAUUCAGAGGGUUACGAUGAGAAAUAGAGAAUAACGUAGCUUACGAACGCUUAUCGAUGUAAGACAAUGAAAAGGGCAUAGAACGCGAUAGCCGUGAUAGAAGAGACGUACGUAUGUAUGUAUCAUUGUACGUAAGCACGUAAGCCCAUGUUAUAUAUACAUACAUAUGUACAUAUAUAUAUAUAUAUAUUCACGUAUAUGCACACGUAUGUCAUAAACGGAAGUUGAAUAACUUGGAUCGUCGAGCAGACAUUCGAAGACGUGACGCGUUUCUUCUCGUUACUUCUUGUAUCUCGUACUUAUAUAUUACUGAAUACGAAUCAGGAAUAAACUUUUAUACGUAUUUUUCAUCCAAUAUCUUUUUGGUAUAAUAUCAUUAUAAAAUGUCAUAGAUAACUAUAUUACGUUACAAUGAUACCAUAAAUAUAUUAAAUACAAUGUUAUACAAAUUAAAUGAUAUAUUUGAUUUCUUAAAUAUUAUCAAUAACAUUUUAGAUUAUUUUUUAAGAAUGAAAAAUAUAAGUAUAGACGCGAUAUGUUGACUUAAAAUCACGAUAAUUUAUUGAAGGUUAACGAGAAGUUUCUGUUUGAAUUCAACAGGAAAACUUUGUAUGAGAAAGUAACGAGUAACUUUUGGAAGAUAUACCAAAUGUUGAACGAGUAUAAGGUAACGAUUUAGUAAAAGAAAGAAGAAGAUUUCGUCUAUAUGACAGAAAUAAAUAGAAAGAGAAGCAUUAAAGAAAGAAAGAAAGAUAGAAUUCGCAAGAGUAAAAUGAUGACGACGGGUUGAGUGGUAGUAUUUUUUUUUUUUUGUUUUUUUUCUUUUAUUGGUGAUAAAAAAUCGCACGUCAAUUAAAAGUCUACGUUCGUAGAUCAACGCGGUAUUGAUGAGAGAACGGGUAUAUGAGAAAGAAAAAGAGAGACAGAGAGGGAGAGAGAGAGAGAGAGAGUAGUAGCGGGAAAGCGUUGAUUUAAUUGCUGGGUCUCCACUUGUCGUCAAUCCAACGGAACACAGCCAACAGAAUGUUUCGGAACCUGAAACAAUACGUCGCAUUCGACACGUCCUGCACCCAUUAAAUCCUCGUUCGAGGCUCGUGUCUCUUUUAUUAUUUUUUUUUUUUUAUUUUUUUUUUUUUUUUACUUUUUUUUCUUUUCAUUUGUCGAUCAAAAAAUCUAUCGACCAAUCAUGCUUUUUACCGUCCCCCCUUUCUCCUUCUAAAAAAAAAAAAUUAAAAAGAGCAAUGUCCCUCUCAUCUUUAACCUUUUAUAUUUUAUUUAUUUGUACGCGCGUCGCAAAUGUAGGUACGCGCGUAUAUUUAAAAUAAAAGAAAUAUAUAAAUACAAAAAAAGAAAAAAAGAAAAAAAGAAAAAAAGAAAAAAAAAAAAAAAGAAGA